GUGAUGUUUAACUUUCGUGUGCUACUGCAGUUUGUAUGAUAAAGGUGCUCUCACAAUGCUCCAUUUGAGAAGUUACAGAUCAUUCAUCUAGCGAUACUGAAGAGCUAAUGGUGAUAUUACAAGUGGACUUUCAGGUAGGAAGCUCAAUAAUUGUAACACCAAACUCUGACAGAAUUACUCAAUUCAAUCAGGACCUGGAUAUUCGCAUUGUGUAUUUCCACAAUUUUACUUCUGCACUGCUCUUACUCUUUCAGAGGGAUUGAAAGGUGGAGUUACAGAUCUAUACAAUGACUGUCCUUCCUCGCUGGCUCUCCCAAUUCUCUCUUUUGGUAGUUUGAUGCAAACACUGACUGGAUCCCUUACCUGGAGGAUAUUUAUGAAUGAAUUUGUUCUAAUGGUGAUCCAGCAUAUUCCCCAAGUGUUGCUGUACACAUGUCCAGAGAAUUUCUCAGUUUCACAAUCUGUGUCCUUCUGGUUUCUUACUUACUUUCUCUUUGAAAGUAUAGUCUGCAGUUGGAGAAUUUAAACAGGCCCACAUCCAGGUCUGACGGUCACUUUGUUUAUCACAACCCAAUUUUCUCAGGAUUUUGAACAUUGAAGGAAAAAGCAGCACUCACAUUGGGGAGAAAUGCACAUGGUGUGUGUGUUGAAGAGUCUGUGAAGAUUCAUCUGAAAUGUCCAAACACCAGUGCAGUGACACUGGGAGACAGUGUGGAAAUGUGCAGAUUGCAGGAAGGAAUUUCUUCAUCCAUCCCAGCUAGAAACUGACCACCAGAGUCACACUGGAGAGAGACCAUUGACCUGUUCUGCGUGAGGGAAAGGCUUUGCUGACUCGAAUUCCCCGCUGAUACACCAGCGAGUUCACUCUGGGGAGAGACCUUUCAUGAGCUCUGUGUGGGAAGGGAUUCAUUGUCAUCCAAACUGUUAACACACCAGCGAGUUCGCAGACAACCACAGUUGAAGAACAUUGCUGUCACUCUCACUAUCAAAUAAACCAUGGUGUUGGGCUGUUUGUACAGAUGUUACCGAUACCUGCUCAAUUAAAGGUGCUGGUAUUGUGAAUAAAAUGUCACACUAACAGUUGUGUAAGGUAGAGCUUGGAAAUAGUCACGUUGUCACAACACAUCGACACAUUCACACUGACUAAAGCCUAUCCACCUGCAUGAUAUGUGAAAAGGGAUUUCCUGGUACAUUCCUGGUUCCUGGUUAACGACCAGCAAAUUUCUGAAUAAGUUGAUUGGUUUGAAUAUAGCUAACAGUAGAAUCAAAAAUAGUAUCAGUGAUAAUGGGAACUGCAGAUGCUGGAGAAUCCAAGAUAACAAAAAGUGUGGAGCUGGAUGAACAUAGCAGGCCAAGCAGCAUCUCAGGAGCACAAAAGCUGACUUUUCGGGCCUAGAGAAGGGUCAAGGCCUGAAACGUCAGCUUUUGUGCUCCUGAGAUGCUGCUUGGCCUGCUGUGUUCAUCCAGCUCCACACUUUGUUAUAGUCGAUUCAAAAACCAUGUGUUUUGGGCUUGUUUCUGGAGAUCAUAGAAUCCCUCCACUGUGGGAGCAGACCACUUAGCCCAUCAAGUCCGCACUGACCUGACGAAGAUUGUCUUACCCAGACACUGUCUGCGUGAGUUUCCUCCAGAUGCUCUGGUUUCCUCCCACAGUCCAAAAAUGUGCAAAUUAUGUAGAUUCACUAUGCUAAAUUGCCCAUAGUAUCUUGUGUGCAAAAUGCAGGGAUAGGGUAGGGUGUGAGACUGGUUGGGAUGCUCUUUGCAGGGUUGAUAUUGACUGAAUGGCCAUCUUCCACACUGUAGGAAUUCUGUGAUGAUCUCGAUGGCCCUUUAUUUGUUAGAUAGGUCUGCACACCUUUACAAUGACAGAUUCUGUUGCUCUCCCACAGACAUUUGUUUAUUGGAAACAAUGUAAUCUUUCAGUUUGUGGAUAAAAAUCAAAGGAAUGUUUUAAAUCCAAACAUAGGAUUGGGUUGAGUCAUGUCCUAUAAUCCCUGAUUUGCAUUUUCCCCGUCGGCUAUGAAACCUGGUGACCGCUGUGACUCUGCCUGGGAGCAUUGCAGUCUCGUCAGCUCUUUACCUGGUGUCCAUAGCAGUGAUGGAUCUCAUGACGGAAACAUAAACCAAAACAUUGUGUGAUUUCUAGUACAUAUUUUCUAUUUAGUCUUCUGUCCAUCACUUCCCUAGAGGCUGAGAUACUGGUCUGGGGACCUAGGUGUGAAUCCAUCUGGAAAUAAGAAUGUGAUGAUGACUGUCAAUCCAUUGCCUUUGUUGGAAAAACCCAUCUGUUCACCGAUGGCCUACAGGGAAGGAAACUGCCAUUCUUAUCCAGUGAUGUGAUCAUCCCAUGAAUGAAUUUUUUAAAAAAAUUAAAAACUCCUGCAAAUACGUUAAA